rnacentral:tRNA from 1 species
GGGAAAGUGGCUCAGUGGUAGAGUGCUUGCCUUACAUGCAUGAAGCCCUGGGUUCAAUUCCUCAGCACCA